AUUGAACGCUGGCGGCAGGCUUAACACAUGCAAGUCGAGCGGAGCGGCUGACGGGCGAGUAAUGCCUAGGAAUCUGCCUGGUAGUGGGGGUUAACGUCCGGAAACGGGCGCUAAUACCGCAUCCUAUCUGUUGAGCUUAGGUCGGAUUCGCUCGUUGGUGGGGUGAAGGCCUACCAAGGCGACGAUCCGUAACUGGUCUGAGCGGAUGAUCAGUCAAACUGUAACUGAGACACGGGCCGGAGGCCUACAGGAGGAAGCAGUGGGGAAUAUGGGAAGAUGGGCGAAGGCCUGAACCAGCCAUGCAGCGUGUGUGAAGAAGGUCUUCGGAUUGUAGAGCACUAAAAGUUGGGAGGCGGUACCAACAGAAGAAGCACCGGCUAACUUCGUGCCAGCAGCCGCGGUAAUAC
rnacentral:rRNA from 1 species